rnacentral:rRNA from 1 species
UAGGGAAUCUUCCACAAUGGGCGAAAGCCUGAUGGAGCAACGCCGCGUGAGUGAGGAAGGCUUUCGGGUCGUAAAGCUCUGUUGCCAGGGAAGAAUAAGGAUCAUUUAACUGAUGAUCCGAUGACGGUACCUGAGAAGAAAGCCCCGGCUAACUACGUGCCAGCAGCCGCGGUAAUACGUAGGGGGCAAGCGUUGUCCGGAAUUAUUGGGCGUAAAGCGCGCGCAGGCGGCUCUUUAAGUCUGGUGUUUAAGUGCGGGGCUCAACCCCGUGACGCACUGGAAACUGGGGAGCUUGAGUGCAGAAGAGGAGAGCGGAAUUCCACGUGUAGCGGUGAAAUGCGUAGAGAUGUGGAGGAACACCAGUGGCGAAGGCGGCUCUCUGGACUGUAACUGACGCUGAGGCGCGAAAGCGUGGGGAGCAAACAGGAUUAGAUACCCUGGUAGUCCACGCCGUAAACGAUGAGUGCUAGGUGUUGGGGGUAUCAUGCCCUCGGUGCCGAAGUUAACACAUUAAGCACUCCGCCUGGGGAGUACGGUCGCAAGACUGAAACUC